UUGGAGGGCAAGUCUGGUGCCAGCAGCCGCGGUAAUUCCAGCUCCAAUAGCGUAUAUUAAAGUUGUUGCAGUUAAAAAGCUCGUAGUUGAACUUCGGGGUCUACCCAUUGGUCAGGCUUAAUUGUCUGUACUGGUAGGAUGGAUCUCUACCUUCUGAGGAACUUCCAUGCCAUUUAUUUGGUGUGAUGGGAAAUCAGGACUGUUACUUUGAAAAAAUUAGAGUGUUUAAAGCAGACUAUCGUCUGAAUACAUUAGCAUGGAAUAAUGAAAUAGGACGGACUGAUUCUAUUUCGUUGGUUACUAGGAUCACCGUAAUGAUUAAUAGGGAUAGUUGGGGGCAUUAGUAUUCAAUUGUCAGAGGUGAAAUUCUUGGAUUUAUUGAAGACUAACUACUGCGAAAGCAUUUGCCAAGGAUGUUUUCAUUAAUCAAGAACGAAAGUUAGGGGAUCGAAGACGAUCAGAUACCGUCGUAGUCUUAACCAUAAACUAUGCCGACUAGGAAUCAGACGAUGUUAAUUUUUUAAUGACUCGUUCGGCGCCUUACGGGAAAC
rnacentral:rRNA from 1 species